AAUGUUGGCCAUGCUACCCUGAAUGUGCCUGAUCUCAUCUGAUCUUGUAAGCUAAGAAGGGUAGGGCCUGUUUAGUACUUGGAUGGGAGACCACCUAAGAAUAGCAGGUGCUGUAGGUG
rnacentral:rRNA from 1 species